AAUGAACGUUGGCGGCAUGGAUUAGGCAUGCAAGUCGAGCGAGAAGAGUUUUGAAGCUUGCUUUAGAACUCGGACAGCGGCGAAAGGGAGAGUAACGCGUAGUUAUGUGCCCUAGGGUCCGGAAUAGCCACGGGAAACUGUGGGUAAUGCCGGAUAAUAUCCCCGGAUCAAAGGUGUGAUUCCGCCCUAGGAGCAGACUGCGUCCUACUAGCUAGUUGGUGGGGUAAUGGCCCACCAAGGCAAUGAUGGGUAGCGGGUGUGAGAGCAUGACCCGUCUCACUGGGACUGAGACACUGCCCAGACACCUACGGGUGGCUGCAGUCGAGAAUCUUCGGCAAUGGGCGAAAGCCUGACCGAGCGAUGCCGCGUGCGGGAUGAAGGCCCUCGGGUUGUAAACCGCUGUCGUAGGGGAGGAAGGUUCCGUGAAGAGCGGAAUUUGACCUAUCCUAGGAGGAAGUACGGGCUAAGUUCGUGCCAGCAGCCGCAGUAAAAC
rnacentral:rRNA from 1 species